ACAUGAGAACUUGCGUUCAGUACCCCCGGGUCAUGAAGGAUUGCUUGAAAUAAGCAACAAUUUAAUCAAUGAAGCGGAGGCCGAGACGGCGCCAGAUGACGUAGAACUCGACAUUAACCGCCUCGACAGGCUGAAUAGUAUGACUUCCGAAACUGACACCAUGACCGCUGGAUCUGAUACUAUGACCGCUGGAUCUGAUACUAUGACCGCUGGAUCUGACACAAUGACUGCUGGAUCUGACACUAAUUCAGAUACGCUUUCUGUUACCAAUGAUCAUCAAGAAGAUUUCCAACAUGAUGUAGAAAUUCAUGCUGAAAUAGACAGAGCCGAUUAGUAGGACCGCAAUUAGAAUCGCCCGGGGACGGUCGCAAGUCAGUCCGGCCGUGACGGCGCAUUCGAAACGUCAUAUGUUUUAUUACGCCGGAACUAGAUUGACAAGCUGCAGUGCUGUCGUCUGGCGGAGCGUCGUAGCGUUGGUUAGCGCGGCCAUGUUGGCAACUUUACUUUUUGUUACCGCAUCGCAAGCGCACCACGUACCGAGUCGACGAAUCGCUUUUGUUCCGCGUAAUCUUUUGAUAUCUAUUGUUAAUUGUUACUGAUUGUUAUAGUGAAAGUGAUAAUUUAAAUUAUAGUGAACUGAUUUUAAAUUAAACCAUAACUCUAAUUAUUUUGUGUAUUAAAGUGAUUAAAGAUCGAACUUGAA